CUAGUGGUUAGAGUGUAGGGGCGACAGGUAGCCUAGUGGUUAGAGUGUAGGGGCGACAGGUAGCCUAGUGGUUAGAGUGUAGAGGCGGCAGGUAGCCUAGUGGUUAGAGUGUAGAGGCGGCAGGUAGCCUAGUGGUUAGAGUGUAGAGGCAGCAGGUAGCCUAGUGGUUAGAGUGUAGGGGCGACAGGUAGCCUAGUGGUUAGAGUGUAGGGGCGACAGGUAGCCUAGUGGUUAGAGUGUAGAGGCGGCAGGUAGCCUAGUGGUUAGAGUGUAGAGGCGGCAGGUAGCCUAGUGGUUAGAGUGUAGAGGCGGCAGGUAGCCAAGUGGUUAGAGUGUAGGGGCGACAGGUAGCCUAGUGGUUAGAGUGUAGAGGCGGCAGGUAGCCUAGUGGUUAGAGUGUAGAGGCAGCAGGUAGCCUAGUGGUUAGAGUGUAGGGGCGACAGGUAGCCUAGUGGUUAGAGUGUAGAGGAGGCAGGGUAGCCUAGUGGUUAGAGUGUAGAGGAGGCAGGUAGCCUAGUGGUUAGAGUGUAGGGGCGGCAGGUAGCCUAGUGGUUAGAGUGUAGAGGAGGCAGGGUAGCCUAGUGGUUAGAGUGUAGAGGCAGCAGGUAGCCUAGUGGUUAGAGUGUAGGGGCGACAGGUAGCCUAGGUGUUAGAGUGUAGAGGUGGCAGGUAGCCUAGUGGUUAGAGUGUAGAGGCGGCAGGUAGCCAAGUGGUUAGAGUGUAGAGGCAGCAGGUAGCCUAGUGGUUAGAGUGUAGAGGCGGCAGGAGUAUUGGGCCAGGAACCGAAAGGUUUCAAGAUCGAAUCCUCGAGCUGCUUACAAGGUAAAAAAUAUGUCAAUCUGCCCCCUGAACGAGGCAGUUAACCCACUGUUCCUCGGCCGUCAUUGAAAAUAAGAAUGUGUUCUUAAUUAACUGACUUGCCUGGUUAAAUAACGGUCACAUAUAAAAGAGGGUCGAUGUGUGUCAGCGGGAGUAGAUGAUAGACAGCUUGGAUGCUCAGUAGUUCAACAUACACACCAGCACUGUAUACUUACACCACAUUUGGGUUACGCCCCAAAUGAGUCAUGGUUUAUAAAUACAGGAAG